AUCGCUUCUCGGCCUUUUGGCUAAGAUCAAGUGUAGAUUUUUUUUUUUUUUAAUUUUUUUAUUAGUUGGAGGCUAAUUACUUCACAACAUUUCAGUGGGUUUUGUCACACAUUGACAUGAAUCAGCCAUAGAUUUACACUUAUUCCCCAUCCCGAUCCCCCCUCCCUCAAGUGUAGAUUUUAACUCAU
rnacentral:snRNA from 1 species